rnacentral:rRNA from 1 species
GACGAACGCUGGCGGCGUGCUUAACACAUGCAAGUCGAACGGAAAGGCCCUGCUUUUGUGGGGUGCUCGAGUGGCGAACGGGUGAGUAACACGUGAGUAACCUUCCCUUUACUUUGGGAUAACUUCAGGAAACUGGGGCUAAUACCGGAUAGGAGCGCCUGCUGCAUGGUGGGGGUUGGAAAGUUUCGGCGGUUGGGGAUGGACUCGCGGCUUAUCAGCUUGUUGGUGGGGUAGUGGCUUACCAAGGCUUUGACGGGUAGCCGGCCUGGGAGGGUGACCGGCCACAUUGGGACUGAGAUACGGCCCAGACUCCUACGGGAGGCAGCAGUGGGGAAUAUUGCACAAUGGGCGGAAGCCUGAUGCAGCAACGCCGCGUGCGGGAUGACGGCCUUCGGGUUGUAAACCGCUUUCGCCUGUGACGAAGCGUGAGUGACGGUAAUGGGUAAAGAAGCACCGGCUAACUACGUG